AUUGCUUCCUGGCCUUUUGGCUAAGAUCAAGUGUAGUAUUUGUUCUUAUCAGUUUACUAUCUGGUACGUCCUCUAGCCGAGGACAAUAUCUUAAAUGUAUUUUUGGAGCAGGGAGAUGGAAGAGAGCUUGCUCCAUCCACUCUGCACAUUAACCCAGUACUGCAGUACUUCUGGGAAAAGUGCACACACU
ensembl:snRNA U2 U2 spliceosomal RNA